rnacentral:tRNA from 1 species
UCCCUGGUGGCCCAGAAGUUAAAGGAUCCAGCAAUGUCACUGCUGUGGUGCAGGUUCGAUCCCUGGCCUGGGAA